rnacentral:tRNA from 1 species
GGUGGCUGUAGCUCAGUUGGUAGAGCACCUGAUUGUGGUUCAGGAGGUCGCGCGUUCGAGCCGCGUCAGCCACCCCC